UGCGCUCACUUCUGCAAGUUGCUCUGGAUAAGAGCGUCUGCUAAGUGACUAGAA
rfam:Salmo salar isolate Sally breed double haploid chromosome ssa26, whole genome shotgun sequence.